GAUGAACGCUGACAGAAUGCUUAACACAUGCAAGUCAACUUGAAUUUGGGUUUUUAACUUAGGUUUGGGUGGCGGACGGGUGAGUAACGCGUAAAGAACUUGCCUCACAGCUAGGGACAACAUUUGGAAACGAAUGCUAAUACCUAAUAUUAUGAUAAUAGGGCAUCCUAUAAUUAUGAAAGCUAUAAGCGCUGUGAGAGAGCUUUGCGUCCCAUUAGCUAGUUGGAGAGGUAACGGCUCACCAAGGCGAUGAUGGGUAGCCGGCCUGAGAGGGUGAUCGGCCACAAGGGGACUGAGACACGGCCCUUACUCCUACGGGAGGCAGCAGUGGGGAAUAUUGGACAAUGGACCAAGAGUCUGAUCCAGCAAUUCUGUGUGCACGAUGAAGUUUUUCGGAAUGUAAAGUGCUUUCAGUUGGGAAGAAAGAAAUGACGGUACCAACAGAAGAAGUGACGGCUAAAUACGUGCCAGCAGCCGCGGUAAUACGUAUGUCACGAGCGUUAUCCGGAUUUAUUGGGCGUAAAGCGCGUCUAGGUGGUUAUGUAAGUCUGAUGUGAAAAUGCAGGGCUCAACUCUGUAUUGCGUUGGAAACUGUAUAACUAGAGUACUGGAGAGGUAAGCGGAACUACAAGUGUAGAGGUGAAAUUCGUAGAUAUUUGUAGGAAUGCCGAUGGUGAAGCCAGCUUACUGGACAGAUACUGACGCUGAAGCGCGAAAGCGUGGGUAGCAAACAGG
rnacentral:rRNA from 1 species